rnacentral:rRNA from 1 species
AUUGAACGCUGGCGGCAGGCCUAACACAUGCAAGUCGAGCGGGGUUUUCGGACCUAGCGGCGGACGGGUGAGUAAUGCGUAGGAAGCUACCCGAUAGAAGGGGAUACCAGUUGGAAACGACCGUUAAUACCGCAUAAUGUCUACGGACCAAAGUGUGGGACCUUCGGGCCACAUGCUAUCGGAUGCGCCUACGUGGGAUUAGCUAGUUGGUGAGGUAAUGGCUCACCAAGGCGACGAUCCCUAGCUGGUUUGAGAGGAUGAUCAGCCACACUGGAACUGAGACACGGUCCAGACUCCUACGGGAGGCAGCAGUGGGGAAUAUUGGACAAUGGGCGCAAGCCUGAUCCAGCCAUGCCGCGUGUGUGAAGAAGGCCUUCGGGUUGUAAAGCACUUUCAGUAGGGAGGAAGCGUUGUGUGUUAAUAGUACACAGUGUUGACGUUACCUACAGAAGAAGUACCGGCUAACUCUGUGCCAGCCGCCGCAGUAAAAC